AGCUCCGAGGUGUUUUAACAUAUUAGAUUGCAAAUCUAAAGAAGCAGACUAGCGUCUGCCGGGGCUU
rnacentral:tRNA from 1 species